rnacentral:misc_RNA from 1 species
GAGAAGAACGUAGCGAAAUGCGAUAAGUAAUGUGAAUUGCAGAAUUCAGUGAAUCAUCGAAUCUUUGAACGCACAUUGCGCCCGCCAGUAUUCUGGCGGGCAUGCCUGUUCGAGCGUCAUUUCAACCAUCAAGCCCCAGGCUUGUGUUGGGGACCUGCGGCUGCCGCAGGCCCUGAAAACCAGUGGCGGGCUCGCUGUCACACCGGGCGUAGUAGAUUUUAUCUCGCUCAGGGCGUGCUGCGGGUUCCGGCCGUUAAAAAGCCUUUUUUACCCAAGGUUGACCUCGGAUCAGGUAGGAAUACCCGCUGAACUUAAGCAUAUCAAUAAGCGGAGGA